UGCCCCUUAUUAAGAAUAAAUUACUUUGCCAAGAAAGUGACAAACAAAACAGGAUCUAAUCAGAUCCUCUGCAGAGUCAGAUUUGAAAUUGGAAUGUUCACAGUUACAUCAAAACCCCCCUUAUAAAUAGGGCCCAAGUUAAUUCUUGAUAUGUUGAAUUAUUUCCCUCCAUUUAUACCUCACAAAAUUCCAGUUCACUGAACUUUCGGACUCUCAAAUCAAAAUUACAUUUGAAAGAAAAAAAUGAAGGUGUUCUGAUACUUCCCUGCAAAAAGUAAAGAAGAGCUCAACUUAAGUCUGCCAGACUUAUCUUCCAGAUUCUAUGUUGGUGUGGAGAAGCUGACCCGAAACCCUGACUUCCCAUGGUCAUAAUCAAAUUUCUUCAACAUGUAGCAGUAGUUUAACUCCAGACGGAACAGAUUUGUAGGAACAACAAUCCCAACUCCCACAGAGGUUCGAAAUGAUUCCACAAACUUUCGCACAGAGAAAUUUUGGUAUGCAUUUUCUGUCAAUUUGUCAAUAUUUCCAGCAGAUGCAAACAUGUGUCCAUGGAUACCUUUUGAUUGACACCACUUGGAUGGAAAAUCAAAAGAAAAAUC
rnacentral:misc_RNA from 1 species